CCUUUGACGUUAGCGGCGGACGGGUGAGUAACACGUGGGUAACCUACCUAUAAGACUGGGAUAACUUCGGGAAACCGGAGCUAAUACCGGAUAAUAUUUCGAACCGCAUGGUUCGAUAGUGAAAGAUGGUUUUGCUAUCACUUAUAGAUGGACCCGCGCCGUAUUAGCUAGUUGGUAAGGUAACGGCUUACCAAGGCGACGAUACGUAGCCGACCUGAGAGGGUGAUCGGCCACACUGGAACUGAGACACGGUCCAGACUCCUACGGGAGGCAGCAGUA
rnacentral:rRNA from 1 species